rnacentral:tRNA from 2 species
CGCGGGGUGGAGCAGUCUGGUAGCUCGUCGGGCUCAUAACCCGAAGGUCGCAGGUUCGAAUCCUGCCCCCGCUACCA